AGUGAACGCUGGCGGUAGGCCUAACACAUGCAAGUCGAACGGCAGCACAGUAAAAGCUUGCUCUUACGGGUGGCGAGUGGCGGACGGGUGAGGAAUACAUCGGAAUCUACUUUUUCGUGGGGGAUAACGUAGGGAAACUUACGCUAAUACCGCAUACGACCUACGGGUGAAGGCAGGGGAUCUUCGGACCUUGCGCGAUUGAAUGAGCCGAUGUCGGAUUAGCUAGUUGGCGGGGUAAAGGCCCACCAAGGCGACGAUCCGUAGCUGGUCUGAGAGGAUGAUCAGCCACACUGGAACUGAGACACGGUCCAGACUCCUACGGGAGGCAGCAGUGGGGAAUAUUGGACAAUGGGCGCAAGCCUGAUCCAGCCAUACCGCGUGGGUGAAGAAGGCCUUCGGGUUGUAAAGCCCUUUUGUUGGGAAAGAAAAGCAGCAGGUUAAUACCCCGCUGUUCUGACGGUACCCAAAGAAUAAGCACCGGCUAACUUCGUG
rnacentral:rRNA from 1 species